rnacentral:rRNA from 1 species
UUGGUCAUGCUAGAAAGAGCGUAUGGUGGAUGCCUUGGCACUAAGAGCCGAUGAAAGACGUGAUAAGCUGCGAAAAGCUUCGGGGAGGAGCAAAUAUCCUUUGAUCCGGAGAUAUCUGAAUGGGGAAACCCACUUGAGCAAACCUCAAGUAUCCUUAAGCCAAUACAUAACUUAAGGAAGGGAACCCGGUGAACUGAAACAUCUAAGUAGCCGGAGGAAGAGAAAACAACAUGUGAUUCUGUGAGUAGCGGCGAGCGAAAACGGAAGAGCCCAAACCGGGGUGCGUGCAUCCCGGGGUUCGGACCGCAUAAUUGAUUCAACGAAUUUAGCAGAACGGUUUUGGGAAAGCCGGCCAGAGAGGGUGAAAGCCCCGUAAGCGAAAGAUGAGUUGACAUGGCGGUAUCCAGAGUAGGUCGAGACACGUGGAACCUUGACUGAAGAUGCGGGGACCACCCCGUAAGGCUAAAUACUCCUUAGUGACCGAUAGCGCAUAGUACUGUGAAGGAACGGUGAAAAGGACCCCGGGAGGGGAGUGAAACAGAACCUGAAACCAUAUGUUUACAAGCUGUGGAACCACUUUAUAUGUGGAACCGCGUACUUUUUGUAGAACGGUCCGGCGAGUUGCGCUGGCUGGCGAGGUUAAGCACCAAAGGUGUGGAGCCGAAGGGAAACCAAGUCUUAAUAGGGCGAAUGAGUCAGUCGGAGCAGACCCGAAACCGGGUGAUCUAUCCAUGUCCAGGUUGAAGUUGCCGUAAAAGGCAAUGGAGGACCGAACCCACAUCCGUUGAAAAGGGUGGGGAUGAGGUGUGGAUAGGGGAGAAAUUCCAAUCGAACCCGGAGAUAGCUGGUUCUCCUCGAAAUAGCUUUAGGGCUAGCCUCAUAUAAGUCUUGCGGAGGUAGAGCACUGAAUUUCCUAGGGGGCGUCAAAGCUUACCGAAGAAUAUCAAACUCCGAAUGCCGUGUAGAUGUUGUAUGGGAGUCAGACUGUACGAGAUAAGUUGGACAGUCAAAAGGGAAAGAGCCCAGACCUGCAGCUAAGGCCCCAAAAUGUGUGUUAAGUGGAAAAGGAUGUGGGAUUUCAAAGACAACUAGGAUGUUGGCUUAGAAGCAGCCAUACAUUCAAAGAGUGCGUAAUAGCUCACUAGUCGAGAGGUCCUGCGCCGAAAAUGUCCGGGGCUGAAACACACUGCCGAAGCUCAGGAAUGUACCUAGUACAUUGGUAGAGGAGCAUUGUAUACGGGACGAAGCAGUACCGAUAAGGAGCUGUGGACUGUAUAGAAGAGAGAAUGCCGGAAUGAGUAGCGAGAGGAAGGUGAGAAUCCUUCCGGCCGAAUAUCUAAGGUUUCCAGAGUAAAGCUGAUCUGCUCUGGGUAAGUCGGGGCCUAAGGCCAGGUCGAAAGACGUAACCGAUGGACAACAGGUUGAAAUUCCUGUACCUUAAGUAAACAGAACUGUGGGGACACGUGUGGAGAGCACAAGCCGGAAAUGGAAAAGCCGGUGCAAGCGAGGUAGGAGAUGAAUAGGAAAAUCCGUUCAUCAAUCCGAAGACGUGAUGCGGACCGAAUUAAGAGUAGGGAAGUGUGUGAGCCAUGCGUCAAGAAAAGCCGCUAUUGUUUUACUUAAGCCCGUACCGUAAACCGACACAGGUGGAUGAGGAGAGAAUCCUAAGGCCGACGGGAGAAGCAUUGUUAAGGAACUCGGCAAAAUGACUCCGUAACUUCGGGAGAAGGAGUGCCA